CAUGUCCGUGUCUGUUUUAAAGAUCGCUCUGAAUGGGAUCUCUAUGAAAAGUCUGUCACAAAAAUUGAAUUAUCUCUGCUUUUUGCUCAAAAUGUGGUGUUUUUGCAGAAACCUACCCAUAUUCAAAAGCUGAUUACAAAAGAACCACUGAAGGUAGAAUGAAACGUUUUAUUUUGUUUGAAAGCAGAGGGUCUGUUCUUUCAUUUGGUAUAUUGUAUGUUUAUAUAUUUAAAGAGCACCUAUUAUGGGAUACACGUUUUUAAACAUCCUUUUGUGUGUAAGUGUGCAUUAGUACAUGCUAACGAUAUUCAAAAAGUACAUACCUCAAAGAAAACGAUGACGCGAGUUAUCGUCUCUAACGUUCGAGGACUACAAAAAACACUCGGAUUGUAGGCAACAGUUUACUUCCUGGGAUUGGUGACGUAGAUAAGACCAACAUUAUCAUAGUUCAGCCCUCUCUGCUUUGCUUGGGUACGCCCUCAAAGACGGGGGUGGGGAGCGCCGAGUCAGAAGAGAGCUAAAAUGGCGGAGGUUGGGAGUCCCUGCAUUGACUCUGUUUGCAAACUCUUGUUUCAUCGUUUAAGCGAUUAAAUCUCUCGAGUAGACGCUGUCUCUUUAGAUGCGAGGGCAAAAUAGCACUUUAUAGACUUACACAGAGGACAUCAUGUUUAAUACGGUUCCGGAAAAAUCCAGUCAGAAGUUGUUCACGGAGUUUUCACAUUAACUGCUUCUCAUGAACCGAAGCUGGACGUCUCCUCCUGAAAGUUGGAUUACUGUGCACUUCUGGAUCACAGGCUAUUCGCAGCUGGACACAUCCUUCUACACUGUAUGCAAACAUGCAACAUCAUAACACACAGUACAAGGAGUCAGACUGGCAUAUGAGGAGCAAAGGAACCCACGCAGUAGCAUCGUUUCACAAUGUUUCCAUCACCAUCAUCAGUGGAUGCCUUUGCCGUCCGUAGCCUGAGAUUUCAGAUUUGUAGCAAAAAAAUUUGAUUUUCUCAUUUAUUGGAAUGCUAUGCAGGUUGUACCUUGCAGCCAUCCAUUACAAUGUCACCAAGCCGUAACAAAAGCAGGAGAGGGAAAGUACAAGGCUAUGUUCCCAAAACACAAAUGACAUACCUUAUGUGGAGGAUGUGAUCAGGCUUGUGUUUGCUGAGGUAUUUGAAGAUAAGCUGAAGGAAACCCCGAUUCCAAUGGACCUGGCAUCACAGUUUGAGAGACCUUCAAAGGAGGACGUGAUUGCAUGCCAUCUUCAGUGCAGGGGUCGUCGGAAGCCAACAUUCCGAUCAGGAAGCUCCAAGCAUAUCUGGAGAACAACACACGACAGGAUGAUAACCCUAAAGUGUCAUCUUAGAUAGCAUCAGCUGACAAAGCUUUGAUAUGCCAUUUAUCUGAAUAGAUAGCUGUAAGAAGUGAAUUGAACAAUUUUUGAAAGAAGAGCACAAUAUGGUUACUAAAGUAUGUUUAUUUGUAUAUUGUUUAACAUUUAAAUAUAUAUUUGUAAUAAAUAAACUUUUGACUGACUACUAUA